rnacentral:rRNA from 1 species
UAGGGAAACUUCCGCAAUGGGCGAAAGCCUGACGGAGCAACGCCGCGUGAGUGAUGAAGGUCUUCGGAUCGUAAAACUCUGUUAUUAGGGAAGAACAAAUGUGUAAGUAACUAUGCACGUCUUGACGGUACCUAAUCAGAAAGCCACGGCUAACUACGUGCCAGCAGCCGCGGUAAUACGUAGGUGGCAAGCGUUAUCCGGAAUUAUUGGGCGUAAAGCGCGCGUAGGCGGUUUUUUAAGUCUGAUGUGAAAGCCCACGGCUCAACCGUGGAGGGUCAUUGGAAACUGGAAAACUUGAGUGCAGAAGAGGAAAGUGGAAUUCCAUGUGUAGCGGUGAAAUGCGCAGAGAUAUGGAGGAACACCAGUGGCGAAGGCGACUUUCUGGUCUGUAACUGACGCUGAUGUGCGAAAGCGUGGGAAUCAAACAGG